rnacentral:rRNA from 1 species
UACGUAGGGGGCUAGCGUUGUCCGGAUUUACUGGGCGUAAAGGGCGUGCAGGCGGUUUGUUAAGUGCAGAGUGAAAGCUCCCGGCUCAACUGGGAGAGGUCUUUGCAUACUGGCAAACUCGAGGGAGGCAGAGGAAAGUGGAAUUCCCGGUGUAGUGGUGAUAUGCGUAGAUAUCGGGAGGAACACCUGUGGCGAAGGGCGGCUUUCUGGGCCUUACCUGACGCUGAGACG